CCUACGGGUGGCAGCAGUGAGGAAUAUUGGUCAAUGGGCGCGAGCCUGAACCAGCCAAGUAGCGUGAAGGAUGACUGCCCUACGGGUUGUAAACUUCUUUUAUAAAGGAAUAAAGUGAGGCACGUGUGCCUUUUUGUACGUACUUUAUGAAUAAGGCUCGGCUAACUCCGUGCCAGCAGCCGCGGUAAUACGGAGGAUCCGAGCGUUAUCCGGAUGUAUUGGGUUUAAAGGGAGCGUAGAUGGUUUGUUAAGUCAGUUGUGAAAGUUUGCGGCGCAACCGUGAAAUUGCAAUUGAAACUGGCAAUCUGGAGUACAGUAGAGGUAGGCGGAAUUCGUGGUGGAGCGGUGAAAUGCUUAGAUAUUACGAAGAACUCCAAUGGCGAAGGCAGCUUACUAGACUGCCACUGACAUUGAGGCUCGAAAGUGUGGGUAUCAAACAGGAUUAGAUACCCCAGUAGUC
rnacentral:rRNA from 1 species